UGGGGAAUAUUGCACAAUGGGCGCAAGCCUGAUGCAGCAACGCCGCGUGAGGGAUGACGGCCUUCGGGUUGUAAAACCUCUUUUAGCAGGGAAGAAGCGAAAGUGACGGUACCUGCAGAAAAAGCACCGGCUAACUACGUGCCAGCAGCCGCGGUAAUACGUAGGGUGCAAGCGUUGUCCGGAAUUAUUGGGCGUAAAGAGCUCGUAGGCGGUCUGUCGCGUCUGCUGUGAAAUCCCGAGGCUCAACCUCGGGCCUGCAGUGGGUACGGGCAGACUAGAGUGCGGUAGGGGAGAAUGGAACUCCUGGUGUAGCGGUGGAAUGCGCAGAUAUCAGGAAGAACACCGAUGGCGAAGGCGAGUUCUCUGGCCGUAACUGACGCUGAGGAGCGAAAGCGUGGGGAGCGAACAGGAUUAGAUACCCUGGUAGUCCACGCCGUAAACGUUGGGCGCUAGAUGUGGGGACCAUUCCACGGUUUCCGUGUCGCAGCUAACGCAUUAAGCGCCCCGCCUGGGGAGUACGGCCGCAAGGCUAAAACUCAAAUGAAUUGACGGGGUCAUAGCUGUUUCCU
rnacentral:rRNA from 1 species